GAGUUUGAUCAUGGCUCAGGACGAACGCUGGCGGCAUGCCUAAUACAUGCAAGUCGAACGAGGUUUCCGUUAAUGAUAGUUGGUGCUUGCAUCAACUUGACUUAAGAUCUAACCGAGUGGCGAACUGGUGAGUAACACGUGGGGAACCUGCCCUUAAGUAGGGGAUAACAUUUGGAAACAAAUGCUAAUACCGUAUAACAACAUAAACCACAUGGUUUAUGUUUGAAAGAUGGCUCUGCUAUCGCUUUUGGAUGGACCCGCGGCGUAUUAGCUAGUUGGUGAGAUAAUGGCUCACCAAGGCGAUGAUACGUAGCCGACCUGAGAGGGUAAUCGGCCACAUUGGAACUGAGACACGGUCCAGACUCCUACGGGAGGCAGCAGUAGGGAAUCUUUCACAAUGGACGAAAGUCUGAUGAAGCAAUGCGCCGUGAGUGAUGAAGGGUUUACGG
rnacentral:rRNA from 1 species